GUUUUCCUGAUCUAUGCAUAAAACCUUUAUGCUCUGUGUUUCACACACUUUUGUACUACAUGCCUGUAGUCUGUGUUUGAGCUGGACAGCGUGAAAUGUUGUUCUGAGUAGCAGUGAGACUGACUCUUCUGCUCUGUCUAGACUGUCCAAUAUUUAAGUGCACGAUUGUGGCGUCGCCGUACGCUUGUAUUUAAGGCCUUUGGCUGAACCCAGUGUUCGCGAUGCUCCGAGCUGUGGUUUCAAGCCCCUGAAGUCUCUGUAGUCUGCUACGAGGUUCUAGUAACUAUAUGGGAUUCAGAUUUUCCUCCUUUCCCCUGACAGAUUAGCUAUCUGUCACAGGAAACCACUGUAACAGUGGGAGGUUGUUGUUUGACUGAAUUCAGACAAAAUUUGUGUUCACAAAUCGCCGCAUUUGUGAUUUUAAAGUCUGCAGUUGAAUCUGCUGUUGAGGGAUUUGUCACUUUGAUUCUUGUCUCUAUAGUCUGCUACGAGGUUCUAGUAACUAUAUGGGAUUCAGAUUUCCUCCUUUCCCCUGACAGAUUAGCUACCUGUCACAGGAAACCACUGUAACAGUGGGAGGUUGUUGUUUGAUUGAAUUGAGACAAAAUUUGUGUUCACAAAUCGCCGCAUUUGUGAUUUUUAAGUUUGCA